UACGGAGGGUGCUAGCGUUGCUCGGAAUUACUGGGCGUAAAGCGUACGCAGGCGGCUUGGUAAGUCGGAUGUGAAAUCCCCAGGCUCAACCUGGGAACUGCAUCCGAAACUACCUCGCUUGAGUUCGGGAGAGGGAAGUGGAAUUCCUGGUGUAGAGGUGAAAUUCGUUGAUAUCAGGAGGAACACCGGCGGCGAAAGCGGCUUCCUGGCCCGAUACUGACGCUCAUGUACGAAAGCGUGGGGAGCAAACAGG
rnacentral:rRNA from 1 species